AACUGCAGAGCCCCGGGGACAUGC
rnacentral:piRNA from 1 species